rnacentral:rRNA from 1 species
CACGUAGGGCGCGAGCGUUGUCCGGAAUUAUUGGGCGUAAAGAGCUCGUAGGCGGCCUGUUGCGUCCGCUGUGAAAGCCCGGGGCUUAACCCCGGGUCUGCAGUGGAUACGGGCAGGCUAGAGGUAGGUAGGGGAGAAUGGAAUUCCCGGUGUAGCGGUGAAAUGCGCAGAUAUCGGGAGGAACACCGGUGGCGAAGGCGGCUCUCUGGGCCUUACCUGACGCUGAGGCGCGACAGCGUGGGGAGCAAACAGG